GAUGAACGCUGGCGGCGUGCCUAAUACAUGCAAGUCGAGCGAAUGGAUUAAGAGCUUGCUCUUAUGAAGUUAGCGGCGGACGGGUGAGUAACACGUGGGUAACCUGCCCAUAAGACUGGGAUAACUCCGGGAAACCGGGGCUAAUACCGGAUAACAUUUUGAACCUCAUGGUACGAAAUUGGAAGGCGGCUUCGGGUGUCACUUAUGGAUGGACCCGCGUCGCAUUAGCUAGUUGUUGGGGUAACGGCUCACCAAGGCAACGAUGCGUAGCCGACCCGAGAGGGUGAUCGGCCACACUGGGACUGAGACACGGCCCAGACUCCUACGGGAGGCAGCAGUAGGGAAUCUUCCGCAAUGGACGAAAGUCUGACGGAGCAACGCCGCGUGAGUGAUGAAGGCUUUCGGGUCGUAAAACUCUGUUGUUAGGGAAGAACAAGUGCUAGUUGAAUAAGCUGGCACCUUGACGGUACCUAACCAGAAAGCCACGGCUAACUACGUGCCAGCCGCCGCAGUAA
rnacentral:rRNA from 1 species